rnacentral:tRNA from 1 species
GCGCCCGUAGCUCAGCUGGAGAGAGCGGCAGACUUCGAAUCUGCAGGGCGGGGGUUCGACUCCCUCCGGGCGCGCCA